rnacentral:rRNA from 1 species
ACUCCUACGGGAGGCAGCAGUGGGGAAUAUUGCACAAUGGGCGCAAGCCUGAUGCAGCCAUGCCGCGUGUAUGAAGAAGGCCUUCGGGUUGUAAAGUACUUUCAGCGGGGAGGAAGGCGAUAAGGUUAAUAACCUUGUCGAUUGACGUUACCCGCAGAAGAAGCACCGGCUAACUCCGUGCCAGCAGCCGCGGUAAUACGGAGGGUGCAAGCGUUAAUCGGAAUUACUGGGCGUAAAGCGCACGCAGGCGGUCUGUCAAGUCGGAUGUGAAAUCCCCGGGCUCAACCUGGGAACUGCAUUCGAAACUGGCAGGCUAGAGUCUUGUAGAGGGGGGUAGAAUUCCAGGUGUAGCGGUGAAAUGCGUAGAGAUCUGGAGGAAUACCGGUGGCGAAGGCGGCCCCCUGGACAAAGACUGACGCUCAGGUGCGAAAGCGUGGGGAGCAAACAGGAUUAGAAACCCCAGUAGUCC